UACGUAGGUGGCAAGCGUUGUCCGGAUUUACUGGGCGUAAAGAGCGCGCAGGCGGUCGUUCAAGUCGCGUGUGAAAGCCCCCGGCUCAACUGGGGAGGGUCACGCGAUACUGAUCGACUCGAAGGCAGGAGAGGGUAGUGGAAUUCCCGGUGUAGUGGUGAGAUGCGUAGAUAUCGGGAGGAACACCAGUGGCGAAGGCGACUUCCUGGCCUGUUCUUGACGCUGAGGCGCGAAAGCUAGGGGAGCAAACGGG
rnacentral:rRNA from 1 species